CUCCUUACCUGACAGUGGAGAUACUAUGAUGAACAAGGUGGUUCUCCCAGGAUGAGGCUAUCCCAUUGCACUUUGGGUAUGCUGAUGCCUGCGAUGUCUCUAAAUGCAGGAUACUCAACUGCAAAAUUUGUGGUAGUGGGGCACUGCCUUCGUGCCCUUUCUUG